AGCUGCUCGACAUCGCACGUGCGGCUCACGACGACGUGGUCGCGCAGGGCGAUGCCGUGGCGGUUCUC
rnacentral:sRNA from 1 species